GGAGAAAAACAACACAAGAGACCUUUUACAAGGCACGAAUAAGUGAACAGCAGCUCUUUAAAUAUGAACCUGUGGGAACUGGCAGAUACAAUAUAUCACGGGGACAGAAAGGCCAGAUGACAACUUUCUGAGUACAUGGCAUAAAAUCAGAUGGGGAGAAAAUAAACUGGUACUUUUUGGCUGACACAACCUGAGGAAAAUUACUGGCUGUUGUGCAGCUCUUGCUGGUUGUUUCAGGCAUAUCAUGUUCUGUAGUGAUUAAAAUACAACUGGUGACCGCAGGAACCCAAAUGCCCUUCUGAAUUGUGUGCAAAGUGUGACAGUGUUUCCUUCAACGCAGGACUCUGAGAGGCUUCUGUCUCAUGCACUCCAGCAGCAGGGGUAUUUCAGCAAUUCCAGAUCCUCAGACCUAUGCACAGUUAUCAGCAAAUGCAGCUGCAUGAGAGUCGGCUCUCACAGCCCCAGCCACCUAUUGCAAGAACACCAAUGAGCUGUCCUGCAUCCAAAAGUCCACCUCCAUAAUGACUGAACCUUCCAAUCAGUUUCCAACAGGCACACCGCUGCCUACACUACCUCAUACAGAGCCAAUCACAGCCAACAACACUGCCACAGGUGCCAGAGAACCAGUCCCUG
rnacentral:lncRNA from 1 species